rnacentral:rRNA from 1 species
CCUACGGGUGGCAGCAGUGGGGAAUAUUGGACAAUGGGGGGAACCCUGAUCCAGCCAUGCCGCGUGUGUGAAGAAGGCCCUCGGGUUGUAAAGCACUUUCAGUGAGGAAGAACGCCUGGUGGUUAAUACCCAUCAGGAAAGACAUCACUCACAGAAGAAGCACCGGCUAACUCCGUGCCAGCAGCCGCGGUAAUACGGAGGGUGCGAGCGUUAAUCGGAAUUACUGGGCGUAAAGCGCGCGUAGGUGGCUUGAUAAGCCGGUUGUGAAAGCCCCGGGCUCAACCUGGGAACGGCAUCCGGAACUGUCAAGCUAGAGUGCAGGAGAGGAAGGUAGAAUUCCCGGUGUAGCGGUGAAAUGUGUAGAGAUCGGGAGGAAUAACAGUGGCGAAGGCGGCCUUCUGGACUGACACUGACACUGAGGUGCGAAAGCGUGGGUAGCAAACAGGAUUAGAUACCCGGGUAGUC